GAUUAUGGCUCACAACGAACGCUGGCGGCAGGUCUAGGCAUGCAAGUCGAACGGAUGACAGAGAGCUUGCUCUCUGAAGUCAGUGGCGCACGAGUGAGUAACGCGUGGGAAACUGCCCUUCACUGGGGAAUAACGUUUGGAAACGAACGCUAAUACCGCAUACGCCCGCAAGGGGAAAGAUUUAUCGGUGAUGGAUGUGCCCGCGUUGGAUUAGCUAGUUGGUGGGGUAAUAGCCUACCAAGGCGAUGAUCCAUAGCUGGUCUGAGAGGACGAUCAGCCACGCUGGAACUGAGACACGGUCCAGACUCCUACGGGAGGCAGCAGCUAAGAAUAUUGGGCAAUGGAGGAAACUCUGACCCAGCCAAUGCCGCGUGAAUGAAGAAGGCCUUCGGGUUGUAAAGUUCUUUUAGUCAUGAAGAUGAUGACAGUAGUGACAGAAAAAGCACCGGCUAACUUCGUGCCAGCAGCCGC
rnacentral:rRNA from 1 species